rnacentral:rRNA from 1 species
CCUGAUGAGAGUGGCGAACGGGUGAGUAACACGUAGGUGAUCUACCUAGAAGUUGGGGAUAGGCGGUGGAAACACAGGGUAAUACCGAAUGAGCCUAUAUACAUACGUGUAUGUAGGGAAAGAGGCUCAGGCCUCGCUUGUAGUUGAGCCUGCGGCUCAUUAGCUAGUUGGGAGGGUAAAGGCCUACCAAGGCGACGAUGAGUAGCCGACCUGAGAGGGUGGGCGGUCACACUGGGACUGAGACACGGCCCAGACUGCGCGACNGGAGGCAGCAGCUAAGAAUCUUCCGCAAUGGUCGAAAGGCUGACGGUGCGACGCCGCGUGGACGAAGAAGGCCGGAAGGUUGUAAAGUUCUUUUCUCAGAGAAGAAUAAGGUGAGGAGGGAAUGCCUCAUUGAUGACGUUAUCUGAGGAAUAAGCCCCGGCUAAUUACGUGCCAGCAGCCGCGGUAACACGUAAGGGGCGAGCGUUGUUCGGAAUUAUUGGGCGUAAAGGGCGCGUAGGCGGCUGAACAAGCCUGGUGUGAAAGGCCACAGCUUAACUGUGGGAGUGCGCUGGGAACUGUUUGGCUAGAGUUCAGGAGGGGAAGCUGGAAUUCCUGGUGUAGGGGUGAAAUCUGUAGAUAUCAGGAAGAACACCUGUGGCGAAGGCGAGCUUCUGGCCAUGAACUGACGCUGAGGCGCGAAAGCGUGGGGAGCGAACAGGAUUAGAUACCCUGGUAGUCCACGCUGUAAACGAUGUGCACUAGGUGUUGGUUGUAGAAAUGAUCGGUGCCGAAGCAAACGCGAUAAGU